AUUGAACGCUGGCGGCAUGCCUUACACAUGCAAGUCGAACGGCAGCACGGGUGCUUGCACCUGGUGGCGAGUGGCGAACGGGUGAGUAAUAUAUCGGAACGUACCUUAUUGUGGGGGAUAACGCAGCGAAAGCUGUGCUAAUACCGCAUAAUCCCUAAGGGGGAAAGCGGGGGACCGUAAGGCCUCGCGCAAUUAGCGCGGCCGAUACCUGAUUAGCUAGUUGGUGAGGUAAAGGCUCACCAAGGCAACGAUCAGUAGCUGGCCUGAGAGGACGAUCAGCCACACUGGGACUGAGACACGGCCCAGACUCCUACGGGAGGCAGCAGUGGGGAAUUUUGGACAAUGGGGGCAACCCUGAUCCAGCAAUGCCGCGUGAGUGAAGAAGGCCUUCGGGUCGUAAAGCUCUUUUGUCAGGGAAGAAACAGCAGCUCUAACACAGUAUGCGAAUGACGGUACCUGAAGAAUAAGCACCGGCUAACUACGUGCCAGCAGCCGCGGUAA
rnacentral:rRNA from 1 species